UUAGAUAUAAUGCCAAUGAAGGUUUCGAGAAUUGCACGCAUGAUGAUCAUGGGACUUAUGCAAUUGAAAUGAUCCCAUUUCUUAAAGUUCUUUUGAUCAUCAUUGGAAUUUUUAACUGUAGGAAUAGGAGGUCGUUCGAUCUUGUCACAAUUGUGAUGAAGGAACAAAACUCCGUAAAAUGAGCAUUUGAAAUGAAUGAAAAAAAAAAAGAGCCUCCACCAAUCCUUUAAGGUGGAAUGAGACAUCAAACUAUGUCACUAAUCUAAAUAGGAGAAACUAAAUCCAGAAAAUGAAAACAAAUGGGAAGGAAUGAAGCACCCAUGGAGACGUGUCAUCUUACUUCAAAACUGAAAGUACUAAUGAUGUAAACCUGGAUAUAAGAGACCAAGAAGACAACUUAGGAGAAGCUGGAAGCACGACUCAAGUUCCGGAGGGACCUAUUACCUGAGCUCACGCCAAAGGCUUUCAAAAGGCCUUCAAUUUGCUCGUCCAAACUUGGAUCACUCAGGAAAUAGAAUUUGAAUCUCAAUAAGCUGCAAGAACAGGUCCAAGAAAGCAAGAAGAGCCCCGACCAUACUGGUUCUAGUUUGGGAAGAGAAUGGAGGUGCAGUCUUGCUCACCCGCGCGGGAACUACGACAAACUAGGAAAGACUGAGUUGGAUUUCUCUUUGAGGAGGUUGAAGCCCUCUCCAUGAACUCCGACUAACAUGCAAAACAGAAGCAAAAUAGAGACAAAAAAGACACCUGCAACCAGAGAAGGAUUCUCUUUGCCGCAAGCCAUCUUCUAGUUUUCUAAAGCUAUUUCCCCUGAUUUGCAGGAAGAAGAAAAGUCUGCAUGGCUGCACAAUAAGAAGAAGAAGAGAUGAAGAAUGCCAAAGACGAGUAAAAGAAGGAAACUAAAAAGAGAGGAGAGGACGAAGACCGCACAGCAUGGGAGAGUGAGUGGUCCAAAGGAGGUACAGUCCUA
rnacentral:lncRNA from 1 species